rnacentral:rRNA from 1 species
UACGGGGGGCAAGCGUUGUUCGGAAUUACUGGGCGUAAAGGGCUCGUAGGUGGCCAACUACGUCAGACGUGAAAUCCCUCGGCUUAACCGGGGAACUGCAUCUGAUACUGGAUGGCUUGAGAUUGGGAGAGGGAUGCGGAAUUCCAGGUGUAGCGGUGAAAUGCGCAGAUAUCAGGAGGAACACCGGUGGCGAAGGCGGAUCUCUGGGCCUUACCUGACGCUCAGGCACGAAAGCGUGGGGAGCGAACAGG